rnacentral:rRNA from 1 species
GACGAACGCUGGCGGCGUGCUUAACACAUGCAAGUCGAACGGUAAGGCCCUUCGGGGUACACGAGUGGCGAACGGGUGAGUAACACGUGGGUGAUCUGCCCUGCACUUCGGGAUAAGCCUGGGAAACUGGGUCUAAUACCGGAUAGGACCACUGCCUGCAUGGGUGGUGGUGGAAAGCUUUUGCGGUGUGGGAUGGGCCCGCGGCCUAUCAGCUUGUUGGUGGGGUGAUGGCCUACCAAGGCGACGACGGGUAGCCGGAUUGAGAGAUUGACCAGCCACACUGGGACUGAGACACGGCCCAGACUCCUACGGGAGGCAGCAGUGAGGAAUUUUCCACAAUGGGCGAAAGCCUGAUGGAGCAAUGCCGCGUGAAGGAUGACGAUCUUCGGAUUGUAAACUUCUUUUAAAUAGGAAGAUUAUGACGGUACUAUUUGAAUAAGCAUCGGCUAACUACGUGCCAGCCGCCGCCGUAA